GGGUCCAUAGCUCAAUAGGUAGAGCAGCUGACUUUUAAUCAGCGGGUCGCUGGUUCGAUUCCAGCUGGACUCA
rnacentral:tRNA from 1 species